UAGGGCCGAUGGGAUACGUGAGCCUCCACAGACACAGACACCUGGCGGUGAAUUCAUUAUUUUACAGCUUUUCGGUAGGGAGGCUCCAUCCGCUGAUGCUACCUGAACGUCCGUCUUUCUGGCUCACAUCUGCUCUCUGCGCCCCAAACCUUCAUCACCGCCCUCAUCCGGCGUAUCCCGUCUCAGCAGAUGGUUACUUGACUGACAAGAGAAUCAUCCUCAAACUCAACUCCGGCACUGUGGAUUGUUGGCCCAGACCAUGCCUCUUGAAUUUGCUGCCUAUCGACAUCAGCCUGGCAGCUGAGUUCUGAUCCAGUCGUGGAGAGAAUCCAAACUUCAACUGAUCUGGGAGGGACCCUAUCAACUCUUGCUGAUGACUGAGACAGCAGUCCGAACAGCAGAAAGCGGCUGGACUCAUUACACACAAGUAAAGGGACCAGUGCCUGAACCAGACAUCUGGGAGGGAAGUGUCAAGGCUGUACUGGCUUCUCGUCUUGGUCCCGGAAACCACUCUGCCUGCCUCUCCAGAUGGAAAGAAGGGCUGCAGGAUCUUGAAACCAUGGCCUUGUGUACACGAGUAUGGAAUAUGAGUAAGGAUAGUAUUGGCAACUUCUCUAGCUUAGCUAUACCCCAAGCAGACUUCUGGUGGUACUGUGGGAAGGGCAUCCUCCAGCCAACACUACCUGAAAGGUGGGAAGGAACCUGUGCUCUGGUUCAAUUGGCUAUCCCAUUCACCCUGGCAUUUAAAAGUAAAGAAAAAGUAACAAUCCAGGGCAAAACAGCGUUGGAUGUUUCAUUAUCCUGUUUGCCCAGGGGUUAGUUCAGACUCAUUGAAACCGCCCUAACCAAGAGUAUCAGCAGAACAAUCUAUACCCCCCUCAAAGAGAAAGAUCCUUAUGAUGAGGAAUGCAAAAAAAAAAGAAAAAAACAGCAAAUUUAAGAAACUAGAAUGUGAAAACUAAAAGGAGUUUAAAAAGAAAGAGGAGGGAAUCUGUAAGAAAGGGUUAAGUUUAGCCUUUCACAUAAACGCAAUGUGGAGUAGGGAAAAAGGGAGGCUGAACAAGGCUGGCUCAAACGGGCUCUGAGGUUGGGAGGAGGGAAAGGGCCCUUGACAUAAGCCUCGAGUUGGUUCUCUCAGAUAGGCUGUACAAUUUAAAAUCCCAAAGGCGGGUUAGUUAGCUCUCUCGGAUAGACUGUACCCUCUGGAGUAUCCAGCCAGUGGAGAAACAGGGGAGGGACUUGCGUUAGGCUUGGAAUAUAAAUUUUCACUGUGUCUGGCUGUGCAUCUGUUCUUGCAAGAUCGUGAAUAAAUUCUUUUCUCCUCCA